CCUACGGGUGGCAGCAGUGAGGAAUAUUGGUCAAUGGACGAGAGUCUGAACCAGCCAAGUAGCGUGAAGGAUGACUGCCCUAUGGGUUGUAAACUUCUUUUAUAUGGGAAUAAAAUGUUCCACGUGUGGGAUUUUGUAUGUACCAUAUGAAUAAGGAUCGGCUAACUCCGUGCCAGCAGCCGCGGUAAUACGGAGGGUCCGAGCGUUAUCCGGAUUUAUUGGGUUUAAAGGGAGCGUAGGUGGAUGGUUAAGUCAGUUGUGAAAGUUUGCGGCUCAACCGUAAAAUUGCAGUUGAAACUGGCAGUCUUGAGUACAGUAGAGGUAGGCGGAAUUCGUGGUGUAGCGGUGAAAUGCUUAGAUAUCACGAAGAACUCCGAUUGCGAAGGCAGUUCACUGGACUGCAACUGACACUGAGGCUCGAAAGUGUGGGUAUCAAACAGGAUUAGAUACCCGAGUAGUC
rnacentral:rRNA from 1 species